GACGAACGCUGGCGGCGUGCUUAACACAUGCAAGUCGAGCGGUAAGGCCCUUUCGGGGGUACACGAGCGGCGAACGGGUGAGUAACACGUGGGUGACCUGCCCUCAGCUCUGGGAUAAGCCUGGGAAACUGGGUCUAAUACUGGAUAUGACUCCACGGUGCAUGUCGUGGGGUGGAAAGCCUUGUGCGGCUGAGGAUGGGCCCGCGGCCUAUCAGCUUGUUGGUGGGGUGANGGCCUACCAAGGCGACGACGGGUAGCCGGCCUGAGAGGGCGACCGGCCACACUGGGACUGAGAUACGGCCCAGACUCCUACGGGAGGCAGCAGUGGGGAAUCUUGCGCAAUGGGCGAAAGCCUGACGCAGCGACGCCGCGUGAGGGAUGACGGCCU
rnacentral:rRNA from 1 species